rnacentral:rRNA from 1 species
AUUGAACGCUGGCGGCAUGCCUUACACAUGCAAGUCGAACGGUAGGGGGAGCAAUCCCCUGAGAGUGGCGAACGGGUGAGUAAUGCAUCGGAACGUGCCCAGUCGUGGGGGAUAACGUAGCGAAAGCUACGCUAAUACCGCAUACGACCUGAGGGUGAAAGCGGGGGACCUGCAAGGGCCUCGCGCGAUUGGAGCGGCCGAUGUCAGAUUAGGUAGUUGGUGGGGUAAAAGCCUACCAAGCCUGCGAUCUGUAGCUGGUCUGAGAGGACGACCAGCCACACUGGGACUGAGACACGGCCCAGACUCCUACGGGAGGCAGCAGUGGGGAAUUUUGGACAAUGGGCGCAAGCCUGAUCCAGCCAUGCCGCGUGCGGGAAGAAGGCCUUCGGGUUGUAAACCGCUUUUGUCAGGGAAGAAAUCCUUUGGGCUAAUACCCUGGAGGGAUGACGGUACCUGAAGAAUAAGCACCGGCUAACUACGUG